rnacentral:rRNA from 1 species
CUGCAGCCCGAGUGGUGAUCGAUUUUAUUGAGCCUAAAGCGUCCGUAGCCGGACUAGUAAACCCUUGGGUAAAUUGGGCAGCUUAACUGUCCAAAUUCCGAGGGGACUGCUAGUCUUGGGACCGGGAGAGGUCAGAGGUACUCAAGGGGUAGGGGCUAAAUCCUGUAAUCCUUUGGGGACCACCAGUGGCGAAGGCGUCUGACUAGAACGGAUCCGACGGUAAGGGACGAAACCCUGGGGCGCAAACCGGAUUAGAUACCCGCGUAGUCC